rnacentral:lncRNA from 1 species
GCGAUGAUGAUAAAAACAUUUCUCGAUUCUGAUUAAAAAACAAUUGGAAUUUGAUAUUGGGUUAGUUAAAACAUCCAAUUUCUUCUUACCAACUGUAACUUGAUGACCGAAUUUGUGCGUGUCUGAGCCUCUCGUAUUUGAUACUUGUUUAUAAUAAUUCAGUGGCGAUUGAAUCUUUGCUUGCAAAUUAGUAGGUUUUGCGAUGAUAAGAACAUAAAUUCCUCGUUCUGAAUGCCGAAUUUGGGCUUGGUUGAUUGUGUAUACUAAUUGGAUUUGAGCAAA